rnacentral:rRNA from 1 species
UACGAAGGGGGCUAGCGUUGCUCGGAAUCACUGGGCGUAAAGGGCGCGUAGGCGGCCAUUCAAGUCGGAGGUGAAAGCCCAGGGCUCAACCUUGGAAUUGCCUUCGAUACUGUCUGGCUAGAGACCGGAAGAGGUAAGUGGAACUGCGAGUGUAGAGGUGAAAUUCGUAGAUAUUCGCAAGAACACCAGUGGCGAAGGCGGCUUACUGGUCCGGUUCUGACGCUGAGGCGCGAAAGCGUGGGGAGCAAACAGG